UGCCUGACACAGGGGGAUAAUCCGAAGAAAUUUGGUCUAAUACCCCAUAAUACCGAUAUAGGCAUCUAUGUUGGUUGAAAGCUUUGGUGGUGUCAGAUGGGCAUGCGUUGUAUUAGCUAGUUGGUGAGGUAACGGCUCACCAAGGCGACGAUACAUAGGGGGACUGAGAGGUUAACCCCCCCACACUGGUACUGAGACACGGACCAGACUCCUACGGGAGGCAGCAUG
rnacentral:rRNA from 1 species